rnacentral:piRNA from 1 species
UCCCAACUGAAGUGGUAUGAGGCUAGC